rnacentral:rRNA from 1 species
GCCCUACGGGGUGCAGCAGGCGCGAAAACUUUACAAUGCUGGCAACAGCGAUAAGGGAACCUCGAGUGCCAGGUUACAAAUCUGGCUGUCGAGAUGCCUAAAAAGCAUUUCAUAGCAAGGGCCGGGCAAGACCGGUGCCAGCCGCCGCGGUAACACCGGCGGCUCGAGUGGUAACCGUUAUUAUUGGGUCUAAAGGGUCUGUAGCCGGCCGGAUAAGUCUCUUGAGAAGUCUGGCAGCUUAACUGUCAGGCUUUCAGGAGAUACUGUCUGGCUCGAGGCCGGGAGAGGUGAGAGGUACUUCAGGGGUAGGGGUGAAAUCUUGUAAUCCUUGAAGGACCACCAGUGGCGAAGGCGUCUCACCAGAACGGACCUGACGGCAAGGGACGAAAGCUAGGGGCACGAACCGGAUUAGAUACCCGGGUAGUCCUAGCCGUAAACGAUACUCGCUAGGUGUCGGCCACGGUGCGACCGUUGUCGGUGCCGUAGGGAAGCCGUGAACCGCACCACUUUGGCAGUCCGGCCGCAAGGCUGAAACUUCCAGGAAUUGGCGGUGGAGCACCACAACGGGUGAAGCGGGCGGUUUAA